UACGUAGGGACCGAGCGUUGUCCGGAAUCAUUGGGCGUAAAGAGCGUGUAGGCGGCCCCUUAAGUCCUGCGUGAAAUCCUGCGGCUCAACCGCAGACGGUCGUGGGAAACUGGAGGGCUAGAGUGCGGGAGAGGAGAGUGGAAUUCCCGGUGUAGCGGUGAAAUGCGCAGAUAUCAGGAAGAACACCUAUGGCGAAGGCAGCUCUCUGGGCCGAUACUGACGCUGAGGAGCGAAAGCGUGGGGAGCGAACAGG
rnacentral:rRNA from 1 species